GAACGCACAUUGCGCCCUCUGGUAUUCCGGAGGGCAUGCCUGUUCGAGCGUCAUUACAACCCUCAAGCUCUGCUUGGUAUUGGGCGUCACCAGUUCUGGUGUGCUCUAAAAUCAGUGGCGGUGCCAUCUGGCUCUAAGCGUAGUACAUCUCUCGCUAUGGAAGUCUUAUGGAUGCUUGCCAACAACCCCAAAUUUUUUAAGGUUGACCUCGGAUCAGGUAGGGAUACCCGCUGAACUUAAG
rnacentral:misc_RNA from 1 species